rnacentral:tRNA from 1 species
GGAGAGGUGGCCGAGCGGUUUAAGGCGGCGGUCUUGAAAACCGUUGUACCCGGAAGGGUACCAGGGGUUCGAAUCCCUUCCUCUCCGCCA